UCCUAGAUGGGGGAGGGGCUGCUUCCUUCCGCGAAGACUGGUGUGUGGUUCUUGGAAGGGCUCCAGGUGCUUGAAAAGGCUGUCUCAGCGGGUGACAGGCUGGUCCCUCAUUUCCAGCAGAAAACUGUUUUCCUGGACUGUCUUUUUCUUGGCUUACGGAUUUGUGACUGCACUUUCCCAAGAAGUGUUGAAGCUCGGCUUACAUUUUUGUGUGGAGAACCAGCUAACCCCUUCCUCAAAGUUUUUUUGUGAGGAAAAGUAAUUUAAAUGUUUGAAAAAGAGUUGUAACCUGGUAAAGUGCCUCCGAAGGCUGCUGAGUGCCUCAGAGAGCAGGUACCGCGUGCUUGCUGCGUGUGGGUGUUCGGGCCAGGUACUUUGGGGUUAUGUGUGUCAACGUGGCCUGGUCCCUACCUGCCAUCACCUGGGGGGGGGGCUGUGAACAAUUCCUGUCAAUGUUGAUAGGAGACAGUGAGACUGUGCCAUCAACGGUAGUCUCCGUGACCCUGGACCCUCAGAACAAGCCUGCGAAGUAGGUACUGUCAUAGUACCUUCUAUGAGUAUCCCCAUUUAACAGAUGAGAAACUGAGGCCCAGAGGGAUGAAGUAGCUUGUCCAGGAUCAAAUACAUAGCAAAUACUGGAACUGGGAUUUGCAGCUGGCAAUUGAGAAGGAGGCUGGAAUCCAGAGCAGAGGGUUCUGGAGUUCAGAGGGGAGCCCAGCUUCCCACGGGGAGCGGGGGUGACUGGAUGAGGGCAUGAGAAGGUGGAAUCCAGGCAGGUCUGGAGUCGAGGAGCCAGUCCAGGGUGAGACUGGCGGUGCAGCAGUGACGUGUUUCCUAGGCAGCCUGCAGGGAAGACUGAAAGUGCCCCAUGUU
rnacentral:lncRNA from 1 species